UGGGCUAUACCUGGAACCAGCUAGAGCGAAUGGCCCAGGAUAGAGGACUCUGGAGAUCUGUGGUUGGCGGCCCAUACACCGAUUGGGGUGACGGACAUGAGUGAGAGUGAGUGAACAGUCCCGUCAGGCACUUUCCUUUCCC